AAUGCAAGCCGGCAAGGACAGUAUAACUAUAUAACGGGUACCUGUUAUAUACUGUCCUUGUGUGAUUCCAUUGAUCGCCAACACUACUCCGUCUGUCCCGGCGUGUACAUACACACUCACAGAACUGUCAGAGAAUUAAACUAAACUUGGACAAUUCGAGACGGUUGGAAAUGCGAUUUAAUACGAUGUGAGCGGCAGCAUGACCGGAUGCACGUACAGUAUCUGUACGUAGGUGCGACAUAAAAAUAGAGAAAUACUGCACAUAGAACGAUUCUUUGUUUAAUUUACGGCGGAAUUCGAGUACAAACCAUAACAGCCGAGGGGCAGCCGCGGCGCGCAGAGCAGGAUAAAGUGGCGAAGUAUCGGGAACUCACCCGAGAUUACUUGUUCCGUGCAUUUGGCGUUGAAACACUCGGACCACUCGGACCGGACGCCUCUCGUUUGGUCACCGAAGUCGGGAAGAUGAUACAACAGAAAACAGGCUAGGUACGGGCGACGGAAUAUCUGCGCCAACGGAUCAGCAUUGACAUCCAACGCGGGAACACGGCCUCUGUCAUGGGAACAGCACCAGCAUCGGCCAACUUAGACGAAAUGUUCUGUGUGAUUAGGCCGCCUAUUUCCGUAGUUGGCUGAGGCUGUGUAUUCGUUGAUGAAUUUCGUGUCCGUUGCAUUUGUCAUUGCCUUCAUUUGACUGCCGAAAUCGCUCUGGAAAAGCAGAAAUCCUUGAUUCAGAAGGUCAAGCAAAUUUGAACAUACUUCAAAAGUCC